GAUGAACGCUGGCGGCGUGCCUAAUACAUGCAAGUCGAACGCACAGCGAAAGGUGCUUGCACCUUUCAAGUGAGUGGCGAACGGGUGAGUAACACGUGGACAAACCUGCCUCAAGGCUGGGGGAUAACAUUUGGAAACAGAUGCUAAUACCGAAUAAAACUCAGUGUCGCGAUGACACAAAGUUAAAAGGCGCUUUGGCGUCACCUAGAGAUGGAUCCGCGGUG
rnacentral:rRNA from 1 species